GCACGGGCUUCCCACGCUUUGGGGCGGCCGGUCUUGGAAGUUUUCCCACAGAGGUGUAAACCCCUUUUUUAAAACCCCAAAUUCAGGGUUACCAAGGACACUUUGUGUCCGCCGGGGACAGUUUCCACCUCUCCUUUCCAAAGGCUACAGGCCACAGGUUGAAAACCACUGUUCUAGGAGCAAGGAAGGAAUGAAGAAAAUCCCAGACAGGAGACUGGUGAACAGUUCCUUGGCCUCAGCAUGAGUUCCAGAUUACAGUGAAUGGGCUCAAAUUCCUCACGGUCUGGUUCUGCUCUGUUGUGGGAAAAAUGAGGACAAGUUGAUGCCAGCAUGUGGAAUAGACUGCUGCAUCUCUGAGCCAUAGCCCUUGUUCUGCUGUAUUUCCAACAAAGGAGGAGCAAAAGUAUGGAGAGAGAUGGAAAUGGGGAAACAAAAACAAUGAGGUUUCAGCCUGGCCUUACUAGCAAGUAACGAGAAUUGCCAUCCUAUCAAGUUUGCCGUCUCCAACAAAGCUUGUACACAAAAACACUUUCAAAAGCAACUAAGGUAGGUUUGCGAUUCCUGGAUUGAUGGUGCAGAGUUUUAUAGCUACGUUAGUCAUCUCAGACAAGUAAAGAGCAGGUAUUUGAAAAGCAGCAUCUUAUACUUAAAUGUAUUCCCCGCCCCGUAUCCGUGCUCAAAGUAGAUUAAAAAAUAUGAAGAAAAAUGAAAUAAAAGAUUUUACAGGAAAAGUAGAUCAGACAUCUGAGGUUUCUUACUGUUAAAAACUUACAGAAAUCUCAGGUAAAGAAAGUACUUAACAGCCUCCUUACCUGAACAAAACUUGUCAGCAAUCUUCUAAAGUAAAGAGGUCACCCUUUUACUCAUUUUAUCUCACAUUCCUUAGUAUCCUGGGAACAGGAGAAAAUGUGUGAGGCCUUUAAAUAUAGCCUCCCCAGUUCUUGGAGGGUAAAAGACAGGAAUAAGAAGGAAUUGUCAAUUGAGAAGGACUGGCCUUGUCAUCUUCUAGGUUUCAUGUUUUCUCUGAGAUUUUUACGUUGCCCCCCCCCCCUUUUUUUUAGCAAGCUGUUGUUUUGGAUAAGGGAAGAUGUUAAAAAUAGUAUUCUCCUGGAUCUUGUAAAUCUGGUUGUAUUUACACAUUGUAGAUUAGAUCAGUGAGAUUCUAGAGGUAGGUGACCUGUAGUGCCUGAAAAUUAGCUUUUUAAAAAAGGAAAAUAAGAAGUACUUUCAUGAUACAUCUAUUUCUCUAUUAGAUAAAAAAGUGCACUUUGCUCCACUGUUUCUAUUUUCUGUAUGAGCCGUGCUCCACUCUAUGUGUAAUUAUCUGCUAGAAUGCAUACUCUGCAUGUGUUUUUAGUUAAAAUUUCUUAAAACACGGUCUUGAAGUCUGCAUAUUUUCAGCCUAGUCCUUUCAUAACUCACACAAACUAGCAUGUGUCUGUUGUGCAUGUGGAAUAUCUAUAAUAUAUAUUUUCAAGUAUUUAGCUUAGAGAUUUUGGUAGCAUGCGGCAUGACUAAUAUUUCUUUUCCUUUUUUACCAUUAAAUAUGAUAAACUAAUACAUAUCAAGAAAAACUUUUAGUUUCACUUUUUAAGAAAUAAGGUCUGUGUAGUGUUUUGUAGGGGGACUAUAAAUGAAGUGAGCUUUUUUUAGUUCUUGCUACUUUUUCAGUGUGGAAACAAACCGUAUAAACUGAACUGGAAAACACUGCCCUGGGAAAAAAAUGUUGUAGCAUCUUCUUACUCUUUAUUUGCAGAUUCCAAUUACCAUCAUGUAUGUCAUGUUAUAGUUCUCAAGGACACCUGAUGAGAUGAGUGGUACCUUAUACUGCCUGCAUGAUUCCCGCCUUUAGUGGUCAAGGGGUUUCUCAUAUGGAAGCAUUUGUGAUCUUUUCCCUUUGAUCGCGUUUGUUGCACAAUGAGGCUGAUC